rnacentral:rRNA from 1 species
GAUGAACGCUGACAGAAUGCUUAACACAUGCAAGUCAACUUGAACUUCGGUUUGGGUGGCGGACGGGUGAGUAACGCGUAAAGAACUUGCCUCACAGAUAGGGACAACAUUUGGAAACGAAUGCUAAUACCUGAUAUUAUGAUUAUAUGGCAUCGUAUAAUUAUGAAAGCUAUAUGCGCUGUGAGAGAGCUUUGCGUCCCAUUAGCUAGUUGGAGAGGUAACGGCUCACCAAGGCGAUGAUGGGUAGCCGGCCUGAGAGGGUGAUCGGCCACAAGGGGACUGAGACACGGCCCUUACUCCUACGGGAGGCAGCAGUGGGGAAUAUUGGACAACGGACCAAGAGUCUGAUCCAGCAAUUCUGUGUGCACGAUGAAGUUUUUCGGAAUGUAAAGUGCUUUCAGUUGGGAAGAAAAAAAUGACGGUACCAACAGAAGAAGUGACGGCUAAAUACGUG